AUGUAUUUUUGUUGGAGGUAUAUCCUCUUUUUGAAUCAUUUAAACAUGGUGGUUAGUACAUUGAAUUUUAUAGUAAAGUUUAAGAUUGAUAAAAUGGAUUUUUUGUUGGAGGUAUAUCCUCUUUUUGAAUCAGUUGUAAAGUCCUAUGGUCAAGCUUGUACUGGUAUGGUUACAAUAUAUUACAUGGCAAUUUUCAGAGCUGAGUUGCAAGACAAAAUUAAGUUUUGCUAUACAAGAAAAAUACAUUUAUGUUUCUCGGUAGUUUCUUGA